rnacentral:rRNA from 1 species
UGUUCCUACGGGGCGCAGCAGUGGGGAAUAUUGCACAAUGGGGGAAACCCUGAUGCAGCGACGCCGCGUGAGUGAAGAAGUAUCUCGGUACGUAAAGCUCUAUCAGCAGGGAAGAAAAAAAGUCUUUGGCUUUGGACGGUACCUGACUAAGAAGCCCCGGCUAACUACGUGCCAGCAGCCGCGGUAAUACGUAGGGGGCAAGCGUUAUCCGGAUUUACUGGGUGUAAAGGGAGCGUAGACGGCUGUGCAAGUCUGAAGUGAAAUGCCGGGGCCCAACCCCGGAACUGCUUUGGAAACUGUACAGC